rnacentral:rRNA from 1 species
ACACGUAAGUAAUCUACCUUUAAGACGAGGAUAACAACCGGAAACAGUUGCUAAGACUGGAUAGGAAAUAAAAAGGCAUCUUUUUAUUUUUAAAAGACCUUUUUCGGAAGGUAUGCUUAAAGAUGAGCUUGCGCCACAUUAGUUUGUUGGUGGGGUAAUGGCCUACCAAGACGAUGAUGUGUAGCUGGACUGAGAGGUCGAACAGCCACAUUGGGACUGAGACACGGCCCAAACUCCUACGGGAGGCAGCAGUAGGGAAUUUUCGGCAAUGGAGGAAACUCUGACCGAGCAACGCCGCGUGAACGAUGAAGUAUUUCGGUAUGUAAAGUUCUUUUAUUGAAGAAGAAAAAAUAGUGGAAAAACUAUCUUGACGUUAUUCAAUGAAUAAGCCCCGGCUAACUAUGUGCCAGCAGCCGCGGUAAGACAUAGGGGGCGAGCGUUAUCCGGAAUUAUUGGGCGUAAAGGGUGCGUAGGCGGUUAGGAAAGUCUAUAAUUUAAUUUCAGUGCUUAACGCUGUCUUGUUAUAGAAACUACCUUGACUAGAGUUAGAUAGAGGCAAGCGGAAUUCCAUGUGUAGCGGUAAAAUGUGUAAAUAUAUGGAGGAACACCAGAAGCGUAGGCGGCUUGCUGGGUCUUGACUGACGCUGAGGCACGAAAGCGUGGGUAGCAAACAGGAUUAGAUACCCUGGUAGUCCACGCCGUAAACGAUGAGUACUAAGUGUCGGGAUAAAACUCGGUACUGAAGUUAACACAUUAAGUACUCCGCCUGAGUAGUACGUACGCAAGUAUGAAACUUAAAGGAAUUGACGGGACUCCGCACAAGCGGUGGAUCAUGUUGUUUAAUUCGAAGAUACACGAAAAAUCUUACCAGGUCUUGACAUGCUCUGCAAAGCUAUAGAAAUAUAGUGGAGGUUAUCAGGGACACAGGUGGUGCAUGGUUGUCGUCAGUUCGUGUCGUGAGAUGUUAGGUUAAGUCCUAAAACGAGCGCAACCCUUGUCGUUAGUUACCAGCACGUAAUGGUGGGCACUUUAACGAGACUGCCAAUUAAACAUUGGAGGAAGGUGAGGAUUACGUCAAAUCAUCAUGCCCCUUAUGAUCUGGGCUACAAACGUGAUACAAUGGCUGUUACAAAGAGUAGCUGAAGCGCGAGUUUUUAGCCAAUCUCAAAAAAGCAGUCUCAGUUCGGAUUGAAGUCUGUAACUCGACUUCAUGAAGUUGGAAUCGCUAGUAAUCGCGAAUCAGCAUGUCGCGGUGAAUACGUUCUCGGGGUUUGUACACACCACCCGUCAAACCACGAAAGUUAGCAAUACCCGAAAGCAGCGGCUUAACUUCGCAAGAAGAGGGAACUGUCUAAGGUAGGGU